rnacentral:rRNA from 1 species
UACGUAGGUGGCGAGCGUUGUCCGGAUUUACUGGGCGUAAAGAGCGCGCAGGCGGUCGUUCAAGUCGCGUGUGAAAGCCCCCGGCUCAACUGGGGAGGGUCACGCGAUACUGAUCGACUCGAAGGCAGGAGAGGGAAGUGGAAUUCCCGGUGUAGUGGUGAAAUGCGUAGAUAUCGGGAGGAACACCAGUGGCGAAGGCGAGUCCCUGGACAACUUCUGACGCUGAGGCACGAAAGCUAGGGGAGCAAACAGG